rnacentral:rRNA from 1 species
UUCAUAACCCUUUGUUGUCCGACUCUGUUGCCUCCGGGGCGACCCUGCCUUCGGGCGGGGGCUCCGGGUGGACACUUCAAACUCUUGCGUAACUUUGCAGUCUGAGUAAACUUAAUUAAUAAAUUAAAACUUUUAACAACGGAUCUCUUGGUUCUGGCAUCGAUGAAGAACGCAGCGAAAUGCGAUAAGUAAUGUGAAUUGCAGAAUUCAGUGAAUCAUCGAAUCUUUGAACGCACAUUGCGCCCCCUGGUAUUCCGGGGGGCAUGCCUGUUCGAGCGUCAUUUCACCACUCAAGCCUCGCUUGGUAUUGGGCAACGCGGUCCGCCGCGUGCCUCAAAUCGUCCGGCUGGGUCUUCUGUCCCCUAAGCGUUGUGGAAACUAUUCGCUAAAGGGUGUUCGGGAGGCUACGCCGUAAAACAACCCCAUUUCUAAGGUUGACCUCGGAUCAGGUAGGGAUACCCGCUGAACUUAAGCAUAUC